UACGUAGGGGGCGAGCGUUGUCCGGAUUUAUUGGGCGUAAAGAGCUCGUAGGCGGUUCGGUAAGUCAGGUGUGAAAUCUCCACGCUCAACGUGGAGGCGCCACCUGAAACUGCCGUGACUCGAGUCCGGUAGGGGAGUGUGGAAUUCCCGGUGUAGCGGUGAAAUGCGCAGAUAUCUGGAGGAACACCGGUGGCGAAGGCGGCAUCCUGGACCAACACUGACGCUGAGGAGCGAAAGCCAGGGGAGCAAACGGG
rnacentral:rRNA from 1 species